rnacentral:rRNA from 1 species
UACGGAGGGGGCUAGCGUUGUUCGGAAUUACUGGGCGUAAAGCGCACGUAGGCGGCUUUGUAAGUUAGAGGUGAAAGCCCAGGGCUUAACCCUGGAAUUGCCUUUAAGACUGCAUCGCUAGAAUUGUGGAGAGGUAAGUGGAAUUCCGAGUGUAGAGGUGAAAUUCGUAGAGAUCGGGAGGAACACCGGUGGCGAAGGCGGGUCUCUGGGCAAUUCCUGACGCUGAGGCGCGAAAGCGUGGGGAGCAAACGGG